rfam:Burkholderia xenovorans LB400 chromosome 1, complete sequence.
UCCCCGCUUCUCCUCCCUGAGCGGGUGCCUGUCGUUUUUUCGAUUAGGCUGUUUGACCCGCCGUUAAAGCGGCGGGUUUUUUUAU